AAUCAACGCUGGCGGCGUGCCUAACACAUGCAAGUCGAACGCGAAAGUGGAGCAAUCCAUGAGUAGAGUGGCAAACGGGUGAGUAACACGUGGGUGACCUGCCUUCGAGUGGGGGAUAACGUCCCGAAAGGGACGCUAAUACCGGCAUGACAUGCUGUCUUUGAAUAGACGGACAUCAAAGCCGGGGAUCGCAAGACCUGGCGCUAGAAGAGGGGCCCCGCGCCNGAUUAGCUAGUUGGUGGGUAAUGGCUCACCAAGGCAACGAUCAGUA
rnacentral:rRNA from 1 species